GUGUAUGAGCUCUGAAUGCUUCGUGCAACAGGAAGACAAACAGGCUAAGCGAGUCCUUCCUGUAGCCAGAAGAUUCUGAUCUCUGACAC
ensembl:miRNA gga-mir-1775 gga-mir-1775